UGGGGAAUAUUGGACAAUGGGCGCAAGCCUGAUCCAGCAAUGCCGCGUGUGUGAAGAAGGCCUUCGGGUUGUAAAGCACUUUUAUCAGGAGCGAAACGCUGUCGGCUAAUACCCGGCGGAACUGACGGUACCUGAGGAAUAAGCACCGGCUAACUUCGUGCCAGCAGCCGCGGUAAUACGAAGGGUGCAAGCGUUAAUCGGAAUUACUGGGCGUAAAGCGUGCGUAGGCGGUUUCUUAAGUCUGCUGUGAAAUCCCCGGGCUCAACCUGGGAAUGGCAGUGGAUACUGGGAGGCUAGAGUGUGUCAGAGGGUGGUGGAAUUCCCGGUGUAGCGGUGAAAUGCGUAGAGAUCGGGAGGAACAUCAGUGGCGAAGGCGGCCACCUGGGGACAACACUGACGCUGAGGCACGAAAGCGUGGGGAGCAAACAGGAUUAGAUACCCUGGUAGUCCACGCCCUAAACGAUGCGAACUGGAUGUUGGUCUCAACUCGGAGAUCAGUGUCGAAGCUAACGCGUUAAGUUCGCCGCCUGGGGAGUACGGUCGCAAGACUGAAACUCAAAUGAAUUGAC
rnacentral:rRNA from 1 species